GACGAACGCUGGCGGCGUGCUUAACACAUGCAAGUCGAACGGUAAGGCCCUGCUUUCGGGGGGGGUUCGAGGGGCACACGUGUGUGACACAUGAGAGUACUCCCCUCCUCACUGUGGUAACUCCUCAGAACACUGGGGAUAAUACCGGAUAGCUGCUGCCGGCGUGUGGUGUGGGGGGGAAAGUUUCGGCGGUUGGGUAUGGACUCGCGGCUUAUCAGCUUGUUGGUGGGGUAGUGGCAUACCAAGGCGUAGACGGGUAGCCGGCCUGAGAGGGUGACCGGCCACACUGGGACUGAGAUACGGCCCAGACUCCUACGGGAGGCAGCAGUGGGGAAUAUUGCACAAUGGGCGGAAGCCUGAUGCAGCGACGCCGCGUGCGGGAUGACGGCCUUCGGGUUGUAAACCGCUUUCAGCUCUGACGAAGCAUGUGUGACGGUAGUGGGAGAAGAAGCACCGGCUAACUACGUG
rnacentral:rRNA from 1 species